ensembl:lncRNA
CGAAGAGCGGGUGAGGGCGGAGCUCGUUCGUCAACUUGACCGGUAGGAAACGGGUUAAAGAGGGGGAGAGCCUCGGAGUGAACGACACAACCGCGCGGUGCACGCCGCGCUUCAACCGCCCUCUCCGCACUCACCAACACAUCAAUGAGCAGGCGCGCUCACGCGCCUCCGUUACACACACCUGCUGGCGGGAACGGGAGCCAGGACCGCGUCUGUUCUCCUCCACCGGCGAACCGACGACCAGCAGAGGAGGGAGCACCGAGGAUAACCCUACGCUACAAUUCCUCCAUCUCCAUCAGUGGACUCAAACUGAGAGGGGAAAGCCAGCGAGUGCAAAUCACAGUCGGCCUUUCCCCUGCCCAUCUAAAACGUGUGUCACUUCAGCUUUAACCUCCAAAGCGACACGAAUAUCAGGUGAAAAACAAGGCAGAAAACCAGGCCAACGCUUCUGACCAGCAAACGAGGGGGAGGCGGUGCCACCACCUGUAUCCAGCCUCCGCUGCAGGAGCUUGGAGAGACUGCUCACAGUAUUGCGGAUAAGUGAAACCCCACAGGAGGGUUGUUUCUUGCUGUGUGAACCAGAACGUGACCUGUGAUGCCCUAACCCCCGGCCGUCUUCUGCAUCGCUACACCCCCUACAGCACAGCCCGAGCAGAGGGGCCAUCGGCCGGACCGCCUGGCACACUGAUCUAGGGGCCAAACGGACACUCCGGUACGGUCUGCAGAUCCUGAGUCUGCCCCCCCCCCCCCCCCCCCCCGGGUGA